UACGUAGGGACCGAGCGUUGUCCGGAUUCAUUGGGCGUAAAGAGCUCGUAGGCGGCUGUUCAAGUCGAACGUGAAAACUCGGAGCUCAACUCCGAGCCUGCGUUCGAGACUGGAUGGCUAGAGUCUGGUAGGGGGAUCUGGAAUUCCUGGUGUAGCGGUGGAAUGCGCAGAUAUCAGGAGGAACACCGGUGGCGAAGGCGGAUCUCUGGGCCAUUACUGACGCUGAGGAGCGAAAGCGUGGGGAGCGAACAGG
rnacentral:rRNA from 1 species